CCGAGUUAGGGUCUUCUCAGGCCCGACCUCCCAACCCUGUGUUUACUAAACCUAUGUUGCUUCGGCGGGCCCGUCUCACGACCGCCGGAGGACCGUAAGACGUCCUCUGGCCCGCGCCCGCCGGUGGCCAAACUUAACAAACUCUGAUUGAAUCGCGUCACUGUCUAAGUACCAUUCUUAAUUAAAAAACA
rnacentral:misc_RNA from 1 species